rnacentral:lncRNA from 1 species
UUAAUUUUUUUUCCUAGCUCCAAAUUAAAUAGCAAAUUUUUAAAACAUCAAAAAGCUCAGAGACCCCUGGAGACUACAUCCAUUUAAACCACUUUGAUAGCACUGAUUAAACAAAUAUUGAGGGCUUAAUGUUCACUAGCAACCAUCAGAGAUACAAAGAUAAGACACUGUCUCUGCCUUCAAGGAACUUACAAUAAUAUAGUUAAAAAAAAAAAAAGUGAUCCUUCUUCUUAAGAAACUAACAGGCAAACAAACAAGUGUAACAAUAAUUACAGUAGUGCCAUCAGAGGUAUGCACAGGAGCCUUCAUAAUAGUAGUCACAUUUAAGCAAGUUUUAAAGAAUGGCAAUUUAACAAGUCCAUGAAAUAGAGAAGGCAAAGAGAUGGAGAAAGUAUUCCAGACAGAAAGCACACAUGCAGUCAGAGAUAACAACAACAUGACACAUUUAAGCACGUUUCUCUAAGCAUGAUCUACAGACAACCAGCAGCACAAUUACCUGUAGUGCAAGAUGUUACUUUUCACAGCUCUACUUAAAUGUAAUGAACCAGAAUGUUUAAAGAUUGAGCUUAGAAAUCUACAUUUUAAUAAACACCUUCAAUUUUAUGUUCACUGAAGUUUACGAAGAACAGACUGAAAAAGAAUUACUAAAAUUCAGAACAGUUAAAGGAGUGGAGGAUGUGCCAGAGAUGAGAAUAGACAAGGACUAGUUCAAGAA